rnacentral:rRNA from 1 species
GACGUAGGGGGCAAGCGUUGUUCGGAAUUAUUGGGCGUAAAGCGUGUGUAGGCGGGCCGUUAAGUGUCUUGUGAAAUCCCCCGGCUCAACCGGGGAAUUGCUGGGCAUACUGGCGGUCUUGAGCAAUCUAGGGGCAGAUGGAACAAGUGGUGGAGCGGUGAAAUGCGUAGAUAUCACUUGGAACGCCAAAGGUGAAGACAGUCUGCUGGGGAUUUGCUGACGCUGAGACACGAAAGCCAGGGGAGCGAACGGG